CAGGAAAUAGUUUAAAAAAUAUUAAUUUUGGAGAUUAAAGUUAAAGAAGAAGUUCUUUUUUCCUGA
rnacentral:tRNA from 1 species